CGAUCUCCAUCAAGAUCUACGCACAAGGAGCAGAGAGAGGGGUGUAGGAGUCAGACCUGCGAUGCAUUGGUCUCAGACUCCACCGUCGGGGUGAUUUCGGGCUCCAUCAUCGGGGUGAGACCCAUUUAUUGGUCGGGGAUCUGCUGAGUUCCAGCAGGAGUCUGAUUUUUCUUCCACUUCUCCUUCUGUCCCGUGCUCUCAGUCAGGCACCA
rnacentral:lncRNA from 1 species